AAAAAAGUUGAUUGUAAGACAUACUAACUUGAUUUCAUGACCAGCUGAUCAUCUGCAAUCUCAAUGGCAACACUGGUUUCCUUAUUUUUAAAAAGCUGGAACUCUUCCAGUUGCUGCUUUUCUUCAGCUGUCAAAACUGUAAAUACAUCUUCUGAAGGAUCCUCCUCCUCCACUGGAAUAGACAAGUCAUCCAAAUGGCUGAUCUGUCCAUCUUUUCUGAUUUCAUGAACAACAAAGUCAGAGUAUCUUUCUUUUAAAAUUCCGGAGAAUCCUUGAUGAGAACUUACAAACUUGGUGAUGCCUACAAUCAAGUUCACUGGGGCCGAACUGUCAUCAUCUUCAGAGACAUGCCAGUCAUUUCUGUCAUUUCCGUCUUUAAAGCUCCAAGAAAACAUACAUUUAAGAUAACCCGGAACCUGGGAGCGCGGGCACGGUGCGGGCUGAGAGGAGAGGAGGAAGGCGCUCCGCUCCGGCGCAGCAGGGCAGCGGCUGCGAGGGUCACUCAGAGGAGGCGGUGACAAGGGCAGAUCAGCAUUUGCAGGGUCUGUGCCGGGUAGGAGGCGCGCAGGGCACCUGAGGUUUAAUUGUGAGUAGAGACCAAGUUUUCCCAGGAGUGCAGAAAAAGGAGCCUAGUGCGGCUGUGUCUCCACCAGGAAGCCAGCCCAUUGAAGUUGAGGCACCAGUGGCUUUCACUGGCCUUGAAAAUCAUAAUAUUUUGUUUAAAUUCCAUUGUGCACUGAGAAUUUUAAUACUAAGUUUAACACUUACAGUCUGGAACCAAAAAGCAAUUG
rnacentral:lncRNA from 1 species